GACGAACGCUGGCGGCGUGCUUAACACAUGCAAGUCGAACGGAAAGGCCCUGCUUGCAGGGUACUCGAGUGGCGAACGGGUGAGUAACACGUGGGUGAUCUGCCCUGCACUUCGGGAUAAGCUUGGGAAACUGGGUCUAAUACCGGAUAGGAACCAUCUUUAGUGUGGUGGUUGGAAAGUUUUUUCGGUGUAGGAUGAGCUCGCGGCCGAUCAGCUUGUUGGUGGGGUAAUGGCCUACCAAGGCGGCGACGGGUAGCCGGCCUGAGAGGGUGUACGGCCACAUUGGGACUGAGAUACGGCCCAGACUCCUACGGGGGGCAGCAGUGGGGAAUAUUGCACAAUGGGCGCAAGCCUGAUGCAGCGACGCCGCGUGGGGGAUGAAGGCCUUCGGGUUGUAAACUCCUUUCGCUAGGGACGAAGCUUUGUUGUGACGGUACCUAGAGAAGAAGCACCGGCUAACUACGUG
rnacentral:rRNA from 1 species